rfam:Ornithorhynchus anatinus chromosome 3, whole genome shotgun sequence.
AGCAGCGUGGCUCAGUGGAAAGAGCACGGGCUUGGGAGUCAGAGGUCAUGGGUUCUAAUCCCAACCCUGCCA